rnacentral:lncRNA from 13 species
AGGACGUGUUUGUUUCCCCUUCCACCAUGAUUAUAAGUUUCUUGAGACCUCCCAGCCAUGCUGAACUGCAGGCACUUUCGAAGCUGCAGAUUGGCCUUCUGCACUAUGAGAGAACUUACCCCAUAAGCCAGAAGAAGCCAGUUCAUGAACAGUCUUAUGGGAUGACCCACAGAGUGAGGGAAAAACACUUCCUGCCAAGACACACAUGAGAGUGCUUAUAUUAGGUCCUACAUUUCCAAUCUUAUCUUCAGAGACUGUAUUUAUGGCUGACAGCUCAACCACAACCUCAUGAGAGAAAAAGAGCCAGAGCAACUCAUGAAGGCUACUC